rnacentral:rRNA from 1 species
UACAGAGGUCUCAAGCGUUUGUUCGGAUUCAUUGGGCGUAAAGGGUGCGUAGGCGGCGCGGUAAGUCGGGUGUGAAAUCUCGGAGCUUAACUCCGAAACUGCAUUCGAUACUGCCGUGCUUGAGGACUGGAGAGGAGACUGGAAUUUACGGUGUAGCGGUGAAAUGCGUAGAUAUCGUAAGGAAGACCAGUGGCGGAAAGGCGGGUCUCUGGACAUGUCCUGACGCUGAGGAGCGAAAGCGUGGGGAGCGAACAGG